rnacentral:rRNA from 1 species
UACGGAGGGGGCGAGCGUUAUUCGGAAUUAUUGGGCGUAAAGGGCGCGUAGGCGGCUUGUCAAGUCAAAGGUGAAAUCCCUCGGCUCAACUGAGGAACUGCCUUUGAAACUAGCGAGCUUGAGGCCGGGAGGGGGUAGCGGAAUUCCCAGUGUAGCGGUGAAAUGCGUAGAUACUGGGAGGAACACCAGUGGCGAAGGCGGCUACCUGGACCGGUUCUGACGCUGAGGCGCGAAAGCGUGGGGAGCGAACAGG